rnacentral:lncRNA from 1 species
AAAUUCAUUAAAGAUAGCCCCAGCACAUCAUGAGUUGGACCGGAUGAGCCAUGAGCUGGUCCCAUGAGGGCACUGUGACAAUAUCACCAAUGGGUAUAAAUUGGCAGUUCCCACACCUCAGAAGAGGUAAGACCUCAGUAAGGAGAGCAAGAAAGUGGUUCAGCAAGAGCUCCAGGAGAGGAGGCAUGGGGGACAUGAUGCUUGGCUGCAUUUCUGUGAGUAUUCCAAAGGUAAUUCUUUCUCCUCAGAGUUCAUUGUAUGUUUGUCUUGAUCUAAUGAUCAAGAUUAGAGAAAAAUAACUACACUUAUUUGCAGUAUGAUAAGAUCUUGAGCAAAACCCAUUUGUUACAUUUGUUUUGUAUUUGCAAAUGAAAUGUUCUAUUAAUAACAGUGGUGUUGUAGUGGAUAGAUAAAAUAUGAAAAUAUAAAAGAUAUGCUUCUUAAAAACAAAGUUUUUUUUCACUGUACUAACACUAUGUCUUUAUUUAUCAUCAUUACCUUUUUAGACACCAAUUAAGUCUAUUUUGUCAGAUGAGAAAAGAAUGUCAAUGCCUAGGAUAAGUUUAUUUUUAAUGGGGAAGGAGGAUAUUACAAAUACUUCCAUCAUUUCUAAACAUGGUUUUGUUUUGAAUCCUUUUGAUUCAGGGGAAAGAAUUAAAAUCUAAAAUCUAUUAAGCACUAUUAAAGAGGAAGUGAAAGAAUCCUGCAAUGUACUAUACAGAGAUUUUCAAAAAGUAAUGUAAAGUUUGAAACAGAAGUUCUAAUUAGAAUUUUUUGAUAUAUUUCUACUCAUACUUAUCAUACAGUAAACCACAUUGUAAAUAACAUGGUAUUAUAUGUAACAUUUUCCCUAAAAUUAAACAAUAACUAUAAAACAAGGAGUAUCCUUCUGUAUUUGGAAAGGUGUGCUGAUCAUGUGUGGUUCUUACAUUGCCAGAAUGAGCAAUACAAUCAUUCAGAAGGGAGAAAGUCACUUCUCCAUGUAAGCCGUGGAUAAAAGGUUAACUUGUACUAAAUGAACUUCUUUCUCCUUCCUACUCCCCAUUAGGAUGAAGUAAGUACCUUAUGAAUCAUUUGAAUUAUGCUUCCUAAGAUCAACAAUGUAUCCCUGUAUGUUACAGGAGAUGAGAGGCUAGAGAUGAAUCAAAAAGAACUCAUUUCCAGGUCAUGAAAAAACAACCAGAAAAAUAACCACCAGAUACUAGCACAAUAAAUACACUGUUUUAUGUAGCA